AAGACACUCUUCUUGGAAUUUCCGAAAACAAAAAUAUAAUUAAAUACCAAAGAAAACGUAUUGACUAUAUAGUUUUGCAGUAGAAAAAGACCCCAUUAUCAUCAAAUAUUCACCAGAGCCUUAGUUUUUUCUCUGGCUUUGGGUUCAGACAUGGCAUCUUGCUGGAAGUUCUUAUUCAUAUCCUUUGUUUUUCUUGCUGUAGUUGCUCCUAAAGUCAAAGCAGAUUCUGGGUCGGUGUUGGAUGAUGAAGUUGAAGUGGUUAGAUCGGAUGUUCCUACUUCUCAGGAAUUGGAGCAUCUGAAGUCCAAGAUCCAAUCUUUAGAAUCAAACAUUGAGGAGACUGCGCGAGCACUGAAAGGAAAGGAUGAGGCGAUUGCAGACAAAGAGAACAUAAUAAAAGAAAAGUCAGAGAGGAUUAAGUCAUUGUCAUCUGAAUUGGCCUCUCUACAGAAAAAGGGAACGCUAGAUUCUGAGGAGCAAGUUGGAAAGGCUCGUGCACAAGCUGAUCAGCUUGAAAAGCAGGUUGAGAGAUUAAAAGAGGAAGCUGAAAUGAAAAAUAAGGAGAAAAGAGACUUCAAAGCGCAUAUAGGUGAAACAGAGAAAAGAGUAUCGGAGUUAAAUUUGAAGGUCGAAAAGCUCGAAAAGACAGUUGAGAAACAGAAGGAGAAACUGAAAAAAACUGAACGAGCUCUUAAACUUGCUGAGGAGGAAAUGAUUAGAGCAAGGCUUGAAGCCACAUCGAAGAUGAAGGAGCUCAUGGAGGUGCAUGGGGCAUGGCUUCCACGUUGGCUUGAAGUUCAUAUGACUCACUACAAGUCUCUUCUGGAGAAGCAUUGGGAGGAGCACGGAAAACCUGCUAUGAACACAAUGAUACAGAAGGCAGUUGAGAAGAAGGCUCAAGCUGAGGUAUGGGCUGCGCCACAUAUAGAAACAGUCAAAACAAAAUGGAUGCCUGCUGUUGAGGAACAAUGGGUGGUAAUGACCACUAACCUCAAGCCACAAAUGGAAUUGGUGAGGACCAAAGGAUUUGAGAUCUAUGAGACAUCUAAAAGCGCCGUAACUCCACAUAUUGUCAAGGUUCAGGAGCUAGCAAAACCUCACUUUCAGGAACUUAAGAAAUUUAGCAAGCCAUACAUCGAUCAAGUCGCCACUGCUACAAAACCUCAUGUUGAAAAAGUUCGUAUUGCUGUAAAGCCAUAUAGAGAUGUGGCAGUUCAUCAUUAUGGGAAGUUCCUCGAGUCUGCAACAAUAUACCAUAAUCAGCUGCAAGGUACAGUAGAUAAAACACUGAAGAAACAUGAGCUUACAAGACCUCUUGCAACAAAGGAG
rnacentral:misc_RNA from 1 species